UACGUAGGGACCAAGCGUUGUUCGGAUUUACUGGGCGUAAAGGGCGCGUAGGCGGCAUGACAAGUCACUUGUGAAAUCUCCGGGCUUAACUCGGAACGGUCAAGUGAUACUGUCGCGCUAGAGUGCGGAAGGGGCAAUCAGAAUUCUUGGUGUAGCGGUGAAAUGCGUAGAUAUCAAGAGGAAUACCUGAGGUGAAGACGGGUUGCUAGGCCGACACUGACGCUGAAGCGCGAAAGCCAGGGGAGCAAACAGG
rnacentral:rRNA from 1 species